GCCAGGGAGGCUUCGAGGGCAGCUAGGCUCCUGGUGUGGUGUCCCCCUUCCUGCCCCAGUUGUGGUCUCUGCACCUAGACUGGGCAAUUGUCUUUUAUUUGCUUAUUUUUAUUCAGUUUGUUGGUUGUUUUUUGGGCGCUGGCUUUCUUAGUUACUCUACUAAGACUCAUAUUGAAUGCAGUGCACAUCCUCUGGCAAAUGGAGGAGUCAUUCUUUUUCUCUGUCCCUUGGGAUCUGAUGCUCUUCAGGUGGUUUGACCUUUGUACCAGAGGCCAGAGGCCUAGACCACCCAGAUUAACAGCUGCUAAAAAUGGGCUUUGGGAAGUCCCCCUGGAGCAGAAAGAUUUUCAGGUUUCAUGAUGUAAUUUUCUUCUUUCUUCCUUUCUCAUUCUGUGGUGAAAUGUGACAAGAAAUGUGACAGUUUUUGGGAGAUGUGAACUCCUCCCCAGUAAUACACCUCAGAUACUUAGUCCAAAUGUUUAUCUUCAGCUUGUGAAGUGGGUUGCACAGUACUUUUUUCCUCUUACACUUAAACAAGCAAAACUAGUAAAGCGAAAACUAAAUGUAGUUAUAGACAUAACUACUAUUUAAAAAAUUUGGAAGAUAUAGAAAAGAAAGCAAAUUAUCUGUAAUUCUACCUGAUGAAUUAUUUUGAUGUGUUAUCUUCCUGGCGUUUUUGUGACUUUUAAAAAAUCAUAGUCCUAAUCGUAGUGGUUUUACAGAGCUCUGACUUUGGCUACCUUUGUAACUCCAGGGGGAAGGUGCUGGGGGCUCUCUCUCAUAGCUGGAGUUCUUCCAGACAAGAGCCCAGCUUCCUCUUCCUCCCUUUGUGGAGCUCUGUGCUGAACUCCCACUCCUUCUCUGGUCUGCAGGGGAGCCUGAGGUCCCUUGCCUUUUUGACUGUAGCAUUCUGCCAACAUUUGUGGCAUCCUAAAUGCUUUUGUCCAGAGCUGUUGAGGAAUUCUGGAUUAAUUAGCUAAAACUACCCCCUGCCUGUUUGUGCUGAGAACCCAUCUCUGCUCCCUAAUUUUUUCAUGGGAGGUGGUGGUGAAAUAAUGUCAUAUUUUGUAUUACUGGGUACCUACCAUGCAGCCAUGAGAGGGUUGUUCCACAUUGGUAGUCAGGUCUGUUGCUGUAGUUUUGGACCCUAGCUAAGAAUUGUUGAGCCCUCCCUGUGCUAAAUGCUUACCUAUAUUUUAUACCUAAGCUGCCUUGGAAGUAUGUAUCAUUCAUCAUCCCCUUUUUGCUGAGGAAGCUGAGGCUCACGGGGUUAAUGGCUCUCCUGAGAUCUGUAUCUAUAUGGCUUCAGGACUCAGAUUCUAACUCCAGAGCUGCACAUUCCUGCUUCAUAGCACUGCCUUCUAGAAAGCACAAGACGAGGCGGGAGAUCUGGUUGGAUCAGGGUCCUGUCGUGACGGAUAAUGGGAAUUUUAUCUUAGACUGGAAGUUUGACCGGGUGCACAAAUGGAGUGAAGUGAACACAGCUAUCAAAAUGAUCCCAGAUAAAUAUCACAGGCAGG